UACGGAGGGUGCAAGCGUUAUCCGGAAUCACUGGGUUUAAAGGGUGCGUAGGCGGUCAAGUAAGUCAGAGGUGAAAUGCCGUCGCUUAACGUCGGAAUUGCCUUUGAUACUGCUAGACUUGAAUAAGGAUGAGGUGGGCGGAAUGUGGCAUGUAGCGGUGAAAUGCAUAGCUAUGCCAUAGAACUCCAAUUGCGAAGGCAGCUGACUGGACCUUAAUUGACGCUGAGGCACGAUAGCGUGGGCAUCAAAGACG
rnacentral:rRNA from 1 species